rnacentral:rRNA from 1 species
GACUACAAGGGUAUCUAAUCCCGUUUGCUCCCUACGCUUUCGCGUCUCAGCGUCAGGACAGGCCCAGUCACCCGCUUUCGCCACAGGCGUUCCCUUAGAUAUCUACGCAUUUCACCGCUCCACCUAAGGUUCCAGUGACCCCUACCUGCCUCAAGAAAGGCAGUAUACCCAGCUAUUCCCGGGUUGAGCCCGGGGAUUUCACAAGGUACUUGCCCUUCCGCCUACACGCGCUUUAAGCCCAGUAAUUCCGAACAACGCUAGGGACCUCCGUCUUACCGCGGCUGCUGGCACGGAGUUAGCCGUCCCUUUCGUCUGCUGGUCAACGCACCGGGGUAUUAGCCCGGAUUGCUUCCUGACAAACUAUUGAAGUUUACAUCCCGAAGGACUUCAUCCUUCACGCGGCGUCGCUCCGUCAGGCUUGCGCCCAUUGCGGAAUAUUCCUUACUGCAGCCCCCCGUAGG